rnacentral:rRNA from 1 species
ACGCUCGACACCUACGGGGGGCAGCAGUGGGGAAUAUUGCACAAUGGGGGAAACCCUGAUGCAGCGACGCCGCGUGAAGGAAGAAGUAUUUCGGUAUGUAAACUUCUAUCAGCAGGGAAGAAACUGACGGUACCUGACUAAGAAGCACCGGCUAAAUACGUGCCAGUAGCCGCGGUAAUCUGAGCGGGCUGGCAAGGC